GGUGGUAGCUCAGUGGUUAAGAUGUCUGACUAGUGAUCGGUGGGUUAUGAGUUCAAUCCCCAGCACCACCA